UGUGAAAUUCUUUCAAGAUAGCGUAUCAUAGUAACAGAGUGAAGUGAUAAUAUUUUUGGGUCAAAAUCAAUCUGUUGUAUAAACAAGUUAUGUAUCUUGUUUCUUAUCAUUUUCACCAUUUCAGACAGAUUUAGCUUAUGCUGAACUAUGAUUUUUUGUUUUUAAUACUUUUCCUUGUGUAGUAUUCCCUCCUUUUCUGAAAGUUCUUACUUUGACUUAUUUCUUCUCACAAAGAGAUUCCAAAUAUAAACAACGAAAGAAAACGGAGCCACAAUUUGGUUACCUGUUUCAAAGGCUAUGGUUUUUGCCUGACUGAAUUUGAUGGCGCUUCAUUACAGGUUAUCAAUUAUUAUGCCAGUAAAAGUGUUGUGACGAACGUCCAUGCUGAGAAGCCACCAAAGGAAGUCAGUGAAGCACUGCAGAAGGCAUUGUCUUCAUGAUGAACACCAGUUGAUCAUAUUAGAAUCUUUAAAAUGUUUCCAAGAUUUUGAUGUGAACUCUCACAUUUACGGGGUUGGAGUUUUUGCUCUCUGUCCGUACCUUGCUUACAUUUUGAAGUUGAAUUCUCAUUUUACUGUUUGCUAUGAGGUCAAGUUUGUUCUACUGCAGAAAAUAAUACCUUACGAGAAGGUUUAUUGCAAAUGAUUUUGGAAACUUCUGUCAAUUUUACUAUGAUUAAAAGAUUUUAUCAGUAAGUCACUUUAUGAUUCUUUCUUGUCGAAUUUCAAAGUUUUUGUCACUUGAUUGUAAAAGUGAUGCGAAGAUGGGUGAAAGCUAAUUAUAGUUACAUCAUUAUGGUUAAGUGAGAGGUCAGUAAAAGAAUUCACUUCUCUUUUUCCGUCCAAAUGUUAUUCUUAAGUCAAGUGAUUGUGCAAUUGUAAACCAAUUUUCGAAUAAUCACAAUGAUUGUCAAGACUAAAUUCACCAGUGGAAGGUUUUGUGAUUACAUCAAUGGCUCAACCGAGUUAAGAAAAAAGCAGGUCCAAGGAUAUCUACAGAUUUUCAUCUCGUUGUUUAUUGUCUUGUUUCCCUGACACAAUUCACUUGACAUACCUAUUUGCCAGGGUUGGUAGUACAUAAUGUAAUUUUAUCCAGAGCAGUGGUCUAUCUUGAGUUCCUUUUUUCUUAUGCUAAUUUGUGACGUAUAUCCAUCUUUGAGGCCCUUCAAUCUGCUACAAAGCGUUCAGAGUUCCAACUGGUUCCCAUGGUGCUUUUCGUGAUUACCAUAUUGAUCUUGUGACAUUGGUGAUUUCUCCCAAAACCUCACUGUAUAACCGUGGCAAGCGAAGUGAAUAUAUGUUAUGCAGUGGGCGAUGAUGUGUUUAUAAAACUUUUCAACUAGUGCUCAUCCUCAGCUCGACUCUCUUUGAUCUCGUCGAAAACUGAUAACCCGAAAGAUAAAGUGCUCAGUCUUGCCUAACUUUCCCCAGGAUUUAAAAUUUCUAGGCUCAGCAUAUCUCGACACAACUCCUCAGGGACUAUCAAGGCACUCAUGCUAUGACUCGACUUUCUACUCAAGGCAUCAACAACUACAUUUUGUUUCCCCUCAUGAUACUGGAUGUCUAGGUCAUAAUCCUUAAUCAACUCCAACCAUCUCCUCUGCCUCAUAUUUCAGGUCUUUUUUGGGUGAAAAUGUACUUCAAGCUCUUCGGUGAAUAUCUUACAAGUUGUCCCAUAGAGGUAAUGUCUCCAAAUUUUCAAUGCAAACACAAUGGCAACUAACUCUAGAUCAUGGGUAAGGUAAUUAGCCUCAUAAAGUUUUAACUGACGCGACGCAUAAGCAAUUACCUUCCCAUUCUGUUGUAACACACAUCCCAAACUAUCAUUCGGAGCAUCAUUAUAUUAUUCUAUAAAAGUUCCAGAAUUAUGAAUACUCAAAAUGAAAUAAGUAGCUUAUAUUAUGGUUUGUCGUAAUCCUGA